CCUACGGGUGACAGCAGUGGGGGAUAUUGGACAAUGGGCGCAAGCCUGACCCAGCAACGCCGCGUGAAGGAAGAAGGCUUUCGGGUUGUAAACUUCUUUUGACAGGGAAGAGUAGAAGACGGUACCUGUCGAAUAAGCCACGGCUAACUACGGGCCAGCAGCCGCGGUAAUACGUAGGGGGCAAGCGUUGUCCGGAUUUACUGGGUGUAAAGGGCGUGUAGCCGGGUUGACAAGUCAGAUGUGAAAUCCUGCGGCUUAACCGCAGAACUGCAUUUUAAACUGUUGAUCUUGAGUAAUGGAGAGGCAGACGGAAUUCCUAGUGUAGCGGUGAAAUGCGUAGAUAUUAGGAGGAACACCAGUGGCGAAGGCGGCUUACUGGACUGUAACUGACGUUGAGGCUCGAAAGCGUGGGGAGCAAACAGGAUUAGAUACCCGGGUAGUC
rnacentral:rRNA from 1 species